AUAUUUAAAUCUUCUCCAAGUGGCGUUUUGUCUUUACAAGCUUUCAGCUUUGGGACGGUUGGUGUCAGGUCUUACAGUUGCCUAUGCUGGAUUAUGCUUGUUUUGCCUUUAUAUCUUGGCCGAGAACAGUCAGUGCAUGUUUGUCUCGAUUUCUGAGGAGAACGAAUGAUCUAGCUGAGGAAGAUGCUGCAGAGCAAGAUACUCUGUUGUAGCUUAUGUUUUCUGUAACCUCCAUGUAUAAUGAAUCUUAGUAUAUUUUUGUGCGGUUGUAUUUCGGGCUACUCAUAGUUUCUGUGUACAUAUUGUUAACCAGGAGAUACAAUUUUACGAUGCAAAUUGUCGAAUAAUUGACACCAUUCCUGAAUAAA